rnacentral:rRNA from 1 species
GACAGAGGGUGCAAACGUUGUUCGGAAUUACUGGGCGUAAAGCGCGUGUAGGCGGCUCUGCAAGUCGGGUGUGAAAUCCCACGGCUCAACCGUGGAAGUGCAUUCGAAACUGCAGAACUAAAGUCCUGGAGAGAAAGGUGGAAUGCUUGGUGUAGAGGUGAAAUUCGUAGAUAUCAAGCGGAACACCGGUGGCGAAGGCGGCCUUCUGGACAGUGACUGACGCUGAGACGCGAAAGCGUGGGGAGCAAACAGG